GGUUUGUCGCGUUGUUCGUGAAAUCUCACGGCUUAACUGUGAGCGUGCGGGCGAUACGGGCAGACUUGAGUACUGCAGGGGAGACUGGAAUUCCUGGUGUAGCGGUGGAAUGCGCAGAUAUCAGGAGGAACACCGGUGGCGAAGGCGGGUCUCUGGGCAGUAACUGACGCUGAGGAGCGAAAGCGUGGGGAGCGAACAGGAUUAGAUACCCUGGUAGUCCACGCCGUAAACGGUGGGUACUAGGUGUGGGUUUCCUUCCUUGGGAUCCGUGCCGUAGCUAACGCAUUAAGUACCCCGCCUGGGGAGUACGGCCGCAAGGCUAAAACUCAAAGAAAUUGACGGGGGCCCGCACAAGCGGCGGAGCAUGUGGAUUAAUUCGAUGCAACGCGAAGAACCUUACCUGGGUUUGACAUGCACAGGACGCCGGCAGAGAUGUCGGUUCCCUUGUGGCCUGUGUGCAAGUGGUGCAUGGCUGUCGUCAGCUCGUGUCGUGAGAUGUUGGGUUAAGUCCCGCAACGAGCGCAACCCUUGUCUCAUGUUGCCAGCGGGUAAUGCCGGGGACUCGUGAGAGACUGCCGGGGUCAACUCGGAGGAAGGUGGGGAUGACGUCAAGUCAUCAUGCCCCUUAUGUCCAGGGCUUCACACAUGCUACAAUGGCCGGUACAAAGGGCUGCGAUGCCGCGAGGUUAAGCGAAUCCUUUUAAAGCCGGUCUCAGUUCGGAUCGGGGUCUGCAACUCGACCCCGUGAAGUCGGAGUCGCUAGU
rnacentral:rRNA from 1 species